AGAUGAUAUAAUUAAAAAAACAAUGUUAAUAUUUGAUUACACUCACAACGCAAUCCUUGUCGAGAGUAGUUAGACAUUUUCUAUUAUUUUUUAGAUUUCUCCCCGCCGCUCUCCCCGUUUAAAGUAGGCGAGAGUGAAUGGUACAGUCCACCCCCUACCGUGUAGCCUAAUGUUUUUCCACUUGGCAGAAAGCGAUCGAAACACGAAGUUGCUCGUUUAUUUAUGAUACUGGGGAAUGUUUUGUAAAACAUUUGAACUAUUCAGCCUGUAUCUGGUGUAUAAGAGUACUGGGUUUAUUUAGUAAAAGCUAGAAACUUGAGUGGGGGCGGAAAAGAGGCGGAAAAUGGCCGUUAGCCGCGUCCUUUGAAGUAUUUGUGCUGUGAUCUUUUUUUUCCUCUGGAUUGGAGCUACUAAAUGCAGAGCGAGGAGCGGCCGCUUAUUGAGGUGAACAGCCUGAUGUUUUCUCCGGGUCAGGAGGAGACCUGUGCACCCACCAAAGAGCUUGUAAAGUACGGGGAACUGGUUGUUCUCGGGUACAAUGGAUCCCUCCCCAGUGGAGACCGUGGAAGGAGGAGGAGCCGUUUUGCCCUCUACAAGAGAGUCAAGGCCAAUGGCGUUAAACCAAGCACUGUACACAUCCUCAACAACCCGCAGGCAAGCAAGGCUGUAAACUGUAAGGGCCAGCACAGUAUCUCCUACACGCUGUCCAGAAACCAGACAGUGGUUGUAGAGUACAGCCAUGACAAAGACACGGACAUGUUCCAGAUUGGCCGAUCCACGGAGAGCCCCAUUGACUUUGUGGUGACUGACACUGUGUCUGGGGGCACAGACGGCGAGGACUCUCCCAUCACACAGAGCACCAUCUCGCGCUUUGCCUGUCGGGUGGUGUGUGAACGCAACCCUCCGUACACUGCACGCAUCUAUGCUGCAGGCUUCGACUCUUCCAAGAACAUCUUCCUAGGGGAGAAAGCGGCCAAAUGGAAGAAUCCAGAUGGCCAGAUGGACGGACUGACGACCAAUGGUGUGCUGGUGAUGCAUCCACGUGGUGGCUUCACAGAAGAGUCCAAGCCUGGUGUGUGGCGAGAGAUAUCUGUGUGUGGAGAUGUUUAUACACUGAGAGAGACUCGCUCUGCACAGACACGAGGCAAAUUGGUGGAUAGUGAGAGUAAUGUGCUGCUGGAUGGCUCUCUGGUGGACCUGUGCGGUGCCACACUACUGUGGCGCACGGCUGAAGGUCUCUUUCACGCACCCACACAGAAGCACCUGGAGGCACUGCGUCAGGAGUUGAACGCCGCACGACCCCAGUGCCCUGUGGGCCUCAACACCUUGGCAUUUCCCAGCAUGCAGCGAUCUAGCCGGGCACUGCCGAGUAUCGCCCAGCAGCAGGACAAGCAGCCGUGGGUGUACCUGGCAUGUGGGCACGUGCAUGGCUACCAUGAGUGGGGCCACAGCUCAGAGCGUGAACCUAACGGCAAACGCGAGUGCCCCAUGUGCAGGGCUGUGGGGCCAUAUGUGCCACUGUGGUUAGGCUGUGAGCCAGCCUUCUAUGUGGACUCGGAAGCGCCUACGCACGCCUUCAUACCUUGUGGUCAUGUCUGCUCAGAGAAGUCGGCCCGCUACUGGUCUGAAAUUCCCUUACCGCAUGGUACUCACGCUUUCCAUGCCGCGUGCCCGUUCUGUGCGACACAGCUCAGUGUCACACAGGGAUGUGCUAAGCUCAUCUUCCAGGGCCCUGUAGACUGAGUGUGCGGGAUACACGGGCAGACACAUGAGGAUUGGUUGGAUUCAGAUGGAGCAUGGAUAAAACUGGAAAAAGAAAAAAAAAAAGAGAACGUAGCGAAGGACUGUUGCACACCACAAGCCAUGAAGCCAUGCUCAUAUACUCAAAUACUACUUCCAGUGGAAAUUUUACUCUCCAUCAGUGUAAUAUCAGAAGUGACCUUGGAGAUUGGUAAGACAGUUGACCAUGACAAUGAGCAGUCUUAUUUAGCAUAAGCUUUUGGAUGAGUUGGUCCACAGGUAGUGUAUCCCAGCAGCACUGUGAGAACACUUUCAGAUGCCCUGUUGAGCAUUUCCUCAAUACACUGAUUUUUAACUAUGUAAUGGAAGAAGCUACAGGUGAGUUUAGUAGACAAGUUAUAAUAUAACUAAGAUUUCAGCUUUUUGGGGAUUGUUUUUCCAUUAAUCAAUAGUCUAAUACAGUAUUACAAUUUACCGAAUUAUUGAUUGACAACAAUAUUAGCUUUGGACUUAAAGUACCAAAAUUUCCAAAGAUAAAAUGGCUGCUAAAACUGGACUAUUGAAUCAGCCCUUGCCAGAUCAAGGACAAAAAUGGAUCACUCCCAGUCACUGUUUGAUCAUGAGCACAAUUCUGCAUUAUUAACAAAGUUCUAAAGGGGCUUAUAGUUUCUAGGAAGUUAUUUGUUUUAAACAAUUAAUGUCUCUGAGCUCUAAGGUUUCCUCUGAUGUAGUGUUUCCAAUCCAGGAAUUUUAUUGUACUGUAACCUGUGAACCAUUUUUGUCGCUAGUGAAGGAACAAUAUACAGGUGGGGUCGAUCUGGAACAUUCACAUCCACAAUGUAGAUGUUGCUUUAAACCAAAACCUAUAAACUUGGUGAUUUUGGAAAUUUGACAGCUGUGAAACGAACAGGCUGCCGGCCAGUGAUGAGCCGGUUUCCCACUUCUUAUUAAAUCCAAUUUUCUCACCAGUGAAAACUUAAUUAAUAUUAGGAUGUGAACAUGUUUUGUAAUGUUGUUUUAAAAUGAAUGAAACUUGUCUUCUAUUUUCUUAACCUUUGUACAGAGAAAGAUUUUAGUUCUGGCAAAUUGGGGAGUUUUUUUUUUUUUUUUUUUUUUUAAACACUUGUUUAAAUGAGUUAUUUUAAUCAGAAAUGGGGUUAUUGCAUUUUUAAAACAUUAUAAAAGAUUUUAUUCAAAGCAGCCCUGUUUUUUGUGUUUUAUUUUUUUUUUACAAAUGCAUUUUUACUACCAUUAUACACUGUGCUUUUAAAAAAAAUUAAACUGAAGAGAUGUUUGUCUUGUUAACCUGAUUCCAUACUGUUUGGAAAUAGAAAAGGGAAUAAAGCAACAGACUGAUACCACAGUGUUGGUGAAAACAGACAGUAGAGAUGUAAAGCUACUCUCUGUCCCAGGUGGCUAUAAAUGAGAUUUCUUCUGAAGUGGUCCUCAGAUCCUUCUUGUUUAUUACUUUUUAUAGCCACAGUACGGCACUGCUGCCAAAGCAAUUGGAUAAACUGAAACUCAAAAAGCUUUAAGAAUACAGUCAAAUAUUUCUGGGGAGAAAUUCCAGUGAUUGGGUUAGAGGAAACAAAUAAAAUGUAAACAAAUGACACUGAGUGAAUAAACAAUGGAUAAAAUUUUGUAAAGAAGUAAUCUCUUAUUUAUAUGUAAGAAAUCAGGCUCUUUUUUACAAAUAGUGUUUUAAUGUUUUCCCUGUCCCAGACUCCCAGGCUAUGAAAAUAUGUUUGAGAUGGUUUUAUGAGGUAUGUUUUGAAGAAAAAGGAAGUGUCUGCCUCGAGGGAACCCUUUGUAAGCGCACACAAAAUGGUUCUAAUUUAGACCUGAUGCAUAUGAAACAAAAUAUGUUUAUAAAUGUAUCCUGACAGUUGGCCAUCUAUAGAUCAGAGUGUGCAGUAAAGUUAAUAUCUUAAGAAAUCCUGUAUGUGAAAUAGCUUUAUAGAAUGUCAGUCACAUUAUACAUUAUAUAGUGAUUAGUCUAGUUGUCCUUUUCACAUCAUUGCUUUCUACAAAUAAAGGCAUAGAAAAGGAUUUAGUUUUUGAACAUGCUUUUUAGCUUCUAUGAAAAGAAGCGAUCAGUAAUGUGUCAUGAGUGCUAAUUAAUAUUUUCUUCUGUAGAUGAUUGAGAGAUGGGAUGUGUGUCUCAGUCCUACUCAGUGUUGUUUUUCUGAAUGGGAGAAAAUGUGGUAAAGUGCACACACAAAGCUAGAAAGGCAGACGUGAGACAAUGUCUUGUAUUCAAUCCCUCCUGGCUGUCUCCAUAUGAUGCCUGCCAGCUCAAGAAGUGAGUACAUCUGAGGGAUCAAAGCAUGUGGAAGAGAAUGAUCUGCAAGCUUGCAUCAGCAAACCUGACAUACUGAUGUGCCAAGUUGUGAUGCCAAAUCCUAAUACGGCAGUUUCUUUUAGUCCGAUCCUGCAUCUUUGCAUAUGCAUCAGUAAAGUCAGUCACACAGUGCCUUAUUAUUUACAGUCCUGGUUUAAUCCAGUCUGUGUAUAAAAGUCUGUGUAUAUUUUCCCUUCUGGAUGGAGAGGACUGAUAAGGAAUUGAUUAUAAAAGCGAUGGAUAUAAAACAAUUAUUUAAAUAAAUAAUUAAAAAAACUGAACAGCAAGGCCAAUUCUAUUGUUUUCAUUAUAUAUUGAAGACAUUUGGGUUUAAGAUCAAAAGAUGAAUAUAAGAUGAUGGCUCAGAAUUUAAUUUUUUCAGGUGAUCAAAAAUAUUGAAACGUGAUUGAUAGGUGUUUCUUGGUGCCCAGGAGUGCCCUAUUAAAUUGAAUGUUUAAAAACUUGAUAGCUCUCAAUGACUACUCUUGGUUUGAGCACUAGGCUUUGCCUGUGAAGACUGCUGUUAAAAUACUAGUUGUUAAAAAGGAUAAACCAACAUGAAGGCCAGAGAGCUAUGUAUGGGAGAAAAGCAAGUCAUUUUGAAGCUGAGAAAAAAGGGAAAAUCUAUCAGAGCCAUGGCACAAGCAUUAGGCAUACCCCAUACAACAAAUUAGAAUGUCCUAACAAAGAAAGAAACCACUGGUGUACUAACAACCAGACCUGGAACAGGUCUGUUACAUAUUGAUGACAUUGUAAGAGCUGUGUAGAAAAACAGAAAAACAACAGUUAGUAACAUCACCAACAACCUUCACAGUGCAGGGGUGAAGGUAUUACAAACCACCAUUUGAAGAACACUUCAAAGAAGUGUGCAGAAAUAUAGAGUUACCCAAUGACCCAAAAAAGCACUGCCAGUACAACAAAGGCCUUCAUCAUUGGGAAAGGUGGUAAGGUGGAAAGGUUUUAGACUGGCCAAGUCAAUCACCAGACCUUACCCCAGUUGAGAUUACAUUUCACCUCCUGAAGAGGAGACUGUAGGGAGAAACCCCCUGAAACAAACAACAAAUGAAAGAAGCUGCAGUACAAGCUUCAAAAAGCAACACUAGAGAGAAAUGCAACAGUUUGGUGAUGUCACCAGCUUGAUGCAGUUAUUGCAAUCAAGGGAUAUGCAACCAAAUAUUAAGUGUUAUUUAAUUUACUUUAACAUUAUCUGUCCCUAUACUUUUGCUCACCUAAAAAUUAAGACCAAAGAUCACUCACACCUAACUGUCCAUGUUUAAAGUUGUUUAACACAUCUAGAUGUAAAUAUAAGGAAAAGAAAGCUGAAAUUCUGAACUGUCAUCUCAUAUUCAACCCAAAUGUCUUCGAUGUAUAGUAAAAAUAACAGAAUUGGCCUUGCUGUUCCAAUACUUUCAGAGGGGACUGUAUAUUAUACACAGAUCAGCCAUAACAGGAUCCACACGGAUUGUGAAGCUUUUUGGCAAGCCUUCUAUAAAAUAAAUAAAUAAUAAAUUUAAAAACCCAAAUACUCCACCUACUGUACGUAUCUAUUCAUUUAGGAUGCAUUAUUUGUUCAAUCUGAAUAAUGUUUUCAUAUUCAAUUACAUUCCUGCUCUAUAAAUAUGUCAGUGAUCUGACUCUUUGACUUUAUACUUUAGGCUGGGAACUUGACGUGUAAUAGUUUAAGAUGAGUCAGGCCAAGAGCUUUUCUUCUGUUGCGUGAGCAGCACAUCCCUGAGCUCUAAAGAGACAAAGUGUAGGGAGGCUCAGUUGAAGCAUAUCUGCAUUUCUCUUUAAAUGGGUUGAGCAUUGUUGUGUAUCUUGUUAUAAAGGGUUUGAUCUUUGUUCAGCUUUGUUGACAACAAAGUUCUUGCUGCUUAUUCAGCGGUGAAACGUGCACUCACCGUAUGAAGAACCUGGAGAAGAAGCUCACUGUCUGAUAAUUCAGACCAUGGAAAGCUUGGUCAAACUCUACCACACAGUGUUUGGGUCCCCAGAUCAAUUCUGCUCUUGGGUGUUACUAGGGAGUUUUUCCUGUGCUACUGGCUAUGCUAAAUUGUCUCUUGGUGUGAAUGUGUGCAGUUGUGUCCUCAGCAUUCGGUAUUGGAUUUUGCAGUAUGGAUGAGGACUCUGGCACUAGAGAUUUGGCUUUUAAAAGAAAAGACCAAUAGUUGGAUAUCUUGCUUUAUUUGCGCAUUAUUGUUAUAUAAUGUUUCAGUGAAGUAGAUUUCAUAUGAAAUUGUAUGUUAAAAAGUUCAAAUAAGUUAAAAAUAAGUUUUAAAAAAUGCAAAUUGUUGCCAAUUUUUUAAAGAGCAAAUUUAAAGAAGAAAUUUUAAGAUAAUGGUCUUGUCUAAAGGAAUUCUUGUCUAAGGAAAGUUUUUAAUGCAACUGUCAUACGCUGGCUGUGAAAACCAGCCAGAUCGAGGAGCGUGUUUCUGUGGAAUAAACAGCUAAUGUACACAAAUCUUGCCAUGAUUGACCCAUGAUAGAUCCUUUUCACAUGACGUCACGCAACUUCUGUUCCAACUCAAAGCAGUGUAUGGUUACUAACACCAGCACAGUGGAACGCUAUGGAGUUUACCCAGUCCCUUCUACAUCUGCCAGAAACACGUCUAGAUGAUGUACAGCGACUUGCAGACCAAUUUUUCACUUACGACACGUUCUAAAAUUCUUCACUGAGCAGUACCUGUUUGAUUAUGAAGCUAAGAAUUUUUGUAUUGUCCAGCCCAGCUUACGUUAUCGGAGUUAGGAUAACGGUGGUUGUUAGCUUUCUCUUCCGCGAAUAGAAAGUCUUUAAGUCCUUAUUCUUGAUUAAUUU